GUAGUUGCUCAUCGGGGGUUCUCCCCCGUGUACUCUUCUAUGGGCAGGCCAGCAUCAGUCCGGGCGGUUGGAGAAAGACCUGUGUCAUGUAGCUGUUUUCGGGCAGUGUUAUAGGGCAGGUGGAAUGCAACCAGCCUGGACUGAGGUCCGCGCAUCUGCUAGGAUGCUGGCGUAAUGGCUGUAAGCGGCCCGUCUUGAAACACGGACCAAGGAGUCUAACAUCUAUGCGAGUGUUUGGGUGUCAAGCCCGAGCGCGUAAUGAAAGUGAACGGAGGUGGGAACCUUUUAGGUGCGCCAUCGACCGAUCCUGAUGUCUUCGGAUGGAUUUGAGUAAGAGCAUAGCUGUUGGGACCCGAAAGAUGGUGAACUAUGCCUGAAUAGGGUGAAGCCAGAGGAAACUCUGGUGGAGGCUCGCAGCGGUUCUGACGUGCAAAUCGAUCGUCAAAUUUGGGCAUAGGGGCGAAAGACUAAUCGAACUAUCUAGUAGCUGGUUCCUGCCGAAGUUUCCCUCAGGAUAGCAGUAACGUUUUCAGUUUUAUGAGGUAAAGCGAAUGAUUAGAGGCCUGGGGGUUGAAACAACCUUCACCUAUUCUCAAACUUUAAAUAUGUAAGAAGUCCUUGUUUCUUAAUUGAACGUGGACAUUUGAAUGUAUCGUUACUAGUGGGCCAUUUUUGGUAAGCAGAACUGGCGAUGCGGGAUGAACCGAACGCGGGGUUAAGGUGCCAGAAUGCACGCUCAUCAGACACCACAAAAGGUGUUGGUUCAUCUAG
rnacentral:rRNA from 1 species